rnacentral:rRNA from 1 species
UACGAAGGGGGCUAGCGUUGUUCGGAAUCACUGGGCGUAAAGCGCUCGUAGGCGGAUCUUUAAGUCAGAGGUGAAAUCCCGGAGCUCAACUUCGGAACUGCCUUUGAUACUGGGGAUCUCGAGUCCGGGAGAGGUGAGUGGAACUGCGAGUGUAGAGGUGAAAUUCGUAGAUAUUCGCAAGAACACCAGUGGCGAAGGCAGGUCUCUGGGCAUUAACUGACGCUGAGGAGCGAAAGCGUGGGGAGCGAACAGG